UACGGAGGGGGCAAGCGUUGUUCGGAAUUACUGGGCGUAAAGGGCGCGCAGGCGGCUGCUCAAGUCAGGCGUGAAAAGGCCUGGGCUCAACCCCGGGAAUUGCGCUUGAGACUGGGGCUGGCUUGAGUGCGGGAGAGGAUGGUGGAAUUCCCAGUGAGAGGUGAAAAUUCGUAGAUAUUCGGAAGAACACCAGUGGCGAAGGCGGCUUACUGGUCCGGUUCUGACGCUGA
rnacentral:rRNA from 1 species